rnacentral:lncRNA from 1 species
CUGUAACAUAUCGGAUUUUGAUAUAAAAGUAAAAAAAAUAAAAAUAGUGUGAGAUACUAUUUUUAUUGGAUUUAGUGGAGUAAAAUAUAAGUUAGAAAUGACUUGUGCUGAAAUCGGAACGAAAACAAAAGAUUUAGAAUUUUCUGUGAAAGACGCGGCUGAUAUUUUAGCAGAAAAUGCACAGUGUCAGAAAAUUAUGAAAAGUGAAGAGUAUGUCAGAAUUAUUUUUAUGAGGCUAAAUUUAAAGUUUCAUGUCAUUCUGACAUCCGGAAAGUGAAAAAUAAAAUCCAACUGCUAUUUGCUAGAGAUUUCAAUUCGGUAGAGCUUUC